GGCAGGGGCUGUGUCUGGGUGCGUCCCAGUCUGGACCAGGCCUCCUGCCGUGAUCUGGGGUGUGCUGAUGUGUUUGGAGGAGCAAGUUCGGCAGUGCUCUGCAGCUUUGUCCUCUCUGUCCCUGCCCUGACAGCCACAGCACCCCUGGUUCACCUCUGCACUAAGGCACAGCCUUCCCAGGACCCCCUGGGCCCCUCCACCUGGUGUGGCCACAGCCUCCCUCCCACAGAAGGCCUCUCCAUGGGCACAGGGCAUGUUUGGCUCACAGCCUGGCUUUGUCCCCCUGGGCCAGGACCCCUCCUUCCUGACAUCAGCGUUUCUCAUCAGAGUCAACAGGGUGAGGAGACGGCAGAGGGCCCCAUGCUUGCCUUUGAACAGAUGAGUGAUGGUGAUCACAACUCGGGGGCGGGGAGGGCGCCGCCGUCACUGGGAUCCAGGCCCACUUCCGUGGAGCACACCGAAGGGUCCCACUGACCCCCAGUGGUCAGGGUCCUCAGCCAAGACCACCGUAGGACUCAAGUUCAGGUGAAGCCUGAAGGACGUGCUGGGGUGACCCGGACCGCUGGAAGCCAGGAGCUCAGGGCUGCUCUCGCCCAGCCUGAUGCAGUUCACAACCCCAUGAGAGUGGCCGCCUGGAGGAGCCGGUCACAGCCUGACCAACAGUGACGUGAGACUCGCCCGGUUACACCGCCCCCCGCCCCCCACCGUGCCCUUCCUCCCGUGUACAAAGUCCUGAGUUCCCAGCUGCAGAAAUGAAGUUCGCACAGCGCACUGACUGUAAAUCCUUCAACAGCAUUUCCCAGAAAGGAACACGUGCAGAUAAACCGGGAUUCAGAUACCGGGGUGGAGCUGGGCUCCGUGCAUCCACGGGGCCUGUGAGUGACCUGGACAUCCGAGGGUCCUCUCGGGUGGCCAUGGGGGCCUCCUGGCCCCAGCUGCCAGCCCUCCUGCCGCUCCCGUGCCCUCCCAGGUGAAGCAGAGCUUGCCCGACUGGCCACCCUGAGCUGCCCGAAGCUUGUGAGCAACGGGAGCAGCUGACGCCAGCCUCUGGGUUCAGGCCGUCCCGUGCCCUCAGGCCCCAGGGUCGUGCGGAGCUUCCUCCCGGCCAGGCCACCACUCUGCACUCUGCGGGGCUGGGGGCUGCCGAGCCGGAGAGGCCUUUGCCAGUGAGGGUUGACGCGUGGGACCCCUCAGUUUGCUGGAAGUUUAACUCGACUUCAACGGAUAAGGGCAGGGCCUGCACAGGAGCGGGGGCUUGGUGGGCCCUGUGGGGGCCUGGCAAGGGGGUGCUUGCCCUUGUGGGGGUCUUUCCAGGCCCGCUCACGGCCUGGGAUGGGGCUCUCAGCCUCCGCACCCUGCCUGCACGCCCACAGCUGCCCCUGCUCCCAGGGAGCCGUCCAUGCGGGUUCCUCCCCUACCCACACCCUGGCUGAGGAGCAGGGGGAGAAAAGAGCGUCUUUCUUUUUUGCUAAAAGGUGUCUGUGUGCAAGUGCUCAGAGCCAGGAUAAUUUUAACUCAGAGGCUGGCCAAAAAAUGCCACUGGGUUUCUUUUUUCCCCCUGGCCGGCUCAGCAGGGAGGCGCCGGGCGGCGCGGAAGCCCCCGCCCGCCUAGGUGGGCCCGGCUGAAUGGGGGGCUUGUGCCGCCGCCGCCAGGGCGGGACCUGGCAUCCA